UACGUGGGGAGCAAACGUUGUUCGGAAUCACUGGGCGUAAAGGGCGUGUAGGCGGCUGAAUAAGUGGGAUGUUAAAUCCCCCGGCUCAACCGGGGACCUGCAUCUCAUACUGUUCAGCUCGAGCACAUCAGAGGAGACUGGAAUUCCACGUGUAGCAGUGAAAUGCGUAGAGAUGUGGAGGAACACCGAUGGCGAAGGCAGCCCCCUGGGCUAACACUGACGCUCAGGCACGAAAGCGUGGGGAGCAAACAGG
rnacentral:rRNA from 1 species